rnacentral:rRNA from 1 species
GACGAACGCUGGCGGCGUGCUUAACACAUGCAAGUCGAACGGAAAGGCCCCUUUGGGGGUACUCGAGUGGCGAACGGGUGAGUAACACGUGAGUAACCUGCCCUUGACUUCGGGAUAACUUCAGGAAACUGGGGCUAAUACCGGAUAGGAAUCCUUGCUGCAUGGUGGGGGUUGGAAAGCUUCGGCGGUUUUGGAUGGACUCGCGGCUUAUCAGCUUGUUGGUGGGGUAGUGGCUUACCAAGGCUUUGACGGGUAGCCGGCCUGGGAGGGCGACCGGCCACAUUGGGACUGAGAGACGGCCCAGGCUGCUACGGGAGGCAGCAGGGGGGAAUAUUGCACAAUGGGCGGAAGGCUGAUGCAGCAACGCCGCGGGCGGGAUGACGGCCUUCGGGUUGUAAACCGCUUUCAGCAGGGGCGAAGCUUGUGGUGACGGUACCUGCAGAAGAAGCACCGGCUAACUACGUG